GAUUGAUGGCUUAGUGAGGCUUCGGAUUGGUUUAAAGAAGGGGGCAACUCCAUCUUGGAACCGAGAAGUUGGUCAAACUUGGUCAUUUAGAGGAAGUAAAAGUCGUAACAAGGUUUCCGUAGGUGAACCUGCGGAAGGAUCAUUACAGUAUUUGGACGUAAUUCUUCUAGUAUCUUGCCAGCGCUUAACUGCGCGGCGAGUGCUAUUAGAAGUCCAUAAGUUCUUACACACAGUGUUUUUUGUUUGUGAAAAAAAUUUACUUUGGUCUGGAGCUAGAAAUAGUUUUGGGCCAGAGGUCAACCUAACUUCAAUUUAUAUUGAAUUGUUUUUAAUUUUAUUUGUCAAAUUAUUGAUAUUAAUCAAAAAUCUUCAAAACUUUCAACAACGGAUCUCUUGGUUCUCGCAUCGAUGAAGAACGCAGCGAAAUGCGAUAAGUAAUAUGAAUUGCAGAUUUUCGUGAAUCAUCGAAUCUUUGAACGCACAUUGCGCCCUUUGGUAUUCCAAAGGGCAUGCCUGUUUGAGCGUCAUUUCUCUCUCAAACCGCAAGGUUUGGUGUUGAGCGACUCAGAUAUUCAGUAUCUAUUUGCUUGAAAUGGAUUGGCAUGAGUAUUUACAGUAGAUAAAUGCCGUUUGACUCUUCAAUGUAUUAGGUCUAACCAACUCGUUGAAACAGUUAGCGGUAGUAUCUGUGUAAAAGAGGCUCGGCCUUACAACAAUCUACAAAGUUGACCUCAAUCAGGUACAGUAUCUAUUUGCUUGAAAUGGAUUGGCAUGAGUAUUUACAGUAGAUAAAUGCCGUUUGACUCUUCAAUGUAUUAGGUCUAACCAACUCGUUGAAACAGUUAGCGGUAGUAUCUGUGUAAAAGAGGCUCGGCCUUACAACAAUCUACAAAGUUUGACCUCAAAUCAGGUAGGAAUACCCGCUGAACUUAAGCAUAUCAAUAAGCGGAGGAAAAGAAACCAACAGGGAUUGCCUUAGUAACGGCGAGUGAAGCGGCAAAAGCUCAAAUUUGAAAUCUGGCGUCUUCGGCGUCCGAGUUGUAAUUUGAAGAAGGCUACUUUGGGGCUGGAGUUUGUCUAAGUUCCUUGGAACAGGACGUCACAGAGGGUGAGAAUCCCGUGAGAUAAGCUUCCCAGUUCUAUGUAAAGUGCUUUCGAAGAGUCGAGUUGUUUGGGAAUGCAGCUCUAAGUGGGUGGUAAAUUCCAUCUAAAGCUAAAUAUUGGCGAGAGACCGAUAGCGAACAAGUACAGUGAUGGAAAGAUGAAAAGAACUUUGAAAAGAGAGUGAAAAAGUACGUGAAAUUGUUGAAAGGGAAGGGCUUGAGAUCAGACAUGGUAUUUUGUAAACCUUCUCUCUCGUGGAGGGGGCCCCUUGCAGCUUACUGGGCCAGCAUCAGUUUGGGCGGUAGGAUAAUGACUAAGGAAUGUGACUUGCCUUCGGGGAAGUGUUAUAGCCUUGGUUGAUACUGCCAGCCUAGACUGAGGACCGCGUCUU
rnacentral:rRNA from 1 species